GCUGAACUGAGAUCUGAGUCCCCUCCCCAGUACAUCCCUCCCGCCCCUUCCCAGAGACUGAGCUUUUUGUUCUGCAUAUAAUGUUUUCAUUAGGAAACUGGGCGCAACCAAGUCAACCAGGAAAGGAUUAGAAAGCAGGAGAGCGAACGCAAGGGGCAAAGAGAGAGAGAGGGGAAGAGUUGUGGAGGACUGCUCGCCAGGUUUCACCAUGACCUGCCCCUCCGCCUCCUCCGUUGGACUCAUCUUCCUUCUGAUUGGUUGCACUGCAGCAGGACCUGAGCCCCGAGCGGUGCGUUCGAGUGCCUGUCAAGAGCACACAAACCUCCACAACCGCCUGGAUGUAGUGGAGAAGGUGCUGUUUCCAAACCCUAACUCGCAUUCAGAGCCCUGAAUGGUUGGAAACCAUCAGGAUUUGGGAUGUGUUAUCAGCUUUAUUAUUAAAUGUCAGCUUUCUCUCCAUCUGAGGCAGCCAAAAAAUCCUCAGCAUUUCCUUUGAGGGAUAAGAUGUCGACAAAGCUGUGGCUCAGUGCCACAUCCACAGUCAGUCACUG
rnacentral:lncRNA from 1 species